AGUCACUGACAUUAGAUACCCGCGUAGUCCCAGCCCUAAACGAUGCGCGUUAGGUGUAUCGGUGACCACGAGUCACCGAGGUGCCGAAGGGAAACCGUGAAACGUGCCGCCUGGGAAGUACGGUCGCAAGGCUGAACUUAAAGGAAUUGGCGGGGGAGCACCACAAGAGGUGGAGGCUGCGGUUCAAUUGGACUCAACGCCGGAAAACUCAUCGGGAGCGACAGCAGUAUGAUUGCCAGGUUGAUGACCUUGCUUGACAAGCUG
rnacentral:rRNA from 1 species